rfam:Picea glauca, whole genome shotgun sequence.
GGAGAGAUGGUUGAGAGGACCAAAUAGGCAGAUUGAUAAUCCGUAGUAUGGAUUAUCCGUACCGAGGGUUCAAAUCCCUCUCUCUCCA